CCUCUCCGUGAUGAUGAAAUCAUUGCCUACCUCCUGGCUGGUCUUGGUCCGGAUUAUGAUCCGUUAGUGACGUCCAUGACCACCAAGAGUGAGGCACUCACGCUCGAUGAUGUCUACGCCCACCUCCUGUCAUUUGAAGC